UACGUAGGGCGCAAGCGUUGUCCGGAAUUAUUGGGCGUAAAGAGCUCGUAGGCGGUUUGUCGCGUCUGCUGUGAAAACCUAAGGCUCAACCUUGGGCUUGCAGUGGGUACGGGCAGACUAGAGUGCGGUAGGGGUGACUGGAAUUCCUGGUGUAGCGGUGGAAUGCGCAGAUAUCAGGAGGAACACCUGUGGCGAAGGCGGCCCCCUGGGCCGGCCCUGACACUGAGACGCGAAGGCGUGGGGAGCGAACGGG
rnacentral:rRNA from 1 species